CCUACGGGAGGCAGCAGUGGGGAAUAUUGCGCAAUGGGCGAAAGCCUGACGCAGCGACGCCGCGUGAGGGAUGAAGGUCUUCGGAUCGUAAACCUCUGUCAGCAGGGAAGAACGGUCACUGUGCUAAUCAGCAGUGAAUUGACGGUACCUGCAAAGGAAGCACCGGCUAACUCCGUGCCAGCAGCCGCGGUAGUACGGAGGGUGCGAGCGUUAAUCGGAAGUACUGGGCGUAAAGCGCUCGUAGGCGGUAUGUCAAGUCAAGGGUGAAAUCCCCGCGCUAAACGUGGGAACUGCCUUUGAAACUGGCAAACUGGAGUGUGGGAGAGGAUAGUGGAAUUCCAGGUGUAGGAGUGAAAUCCGUAGAGAUCUGGAGGAACAUCAGUGGCGAAGGCGACUAUCUGGCACAUAACUGACGCUGAGGAGCGAAAGCGUGGGGAGCAAACAGGAUUAGAUACCCUGGUAGUC
rnacentral:rRNA from 1 species